rnacentral:rRNA from 1 species
AGUGAACGCUGGCGGUAGGCCUAACACAUGCAAGUCGAACGGCAGCACAGUAAGAGCUUGCUCUUACGGGUGGCGAGUGGCGGACGGGUGAGGAAUACAUCGGAAUCUACUUUUUCGUGGGGGAUAACGUAGGGAAACUUACGCUAAUACCGCAUACGACCUACGGGUGAAAGCAGGGGAUCUUCGGACCUUGCGCGAUUGAAUGAGCCGAUGUCGGAUUAGCUAGUUGGCGGGGUAAAGGCCCACCAAGGCGACGAUCCGUAGCUGGUCUGAGAGGAUGAUCAGCCGCACUGGAACUGAGACACGAUCCAGACUCCUACGGGAGGCAGCAGUGGGGAAUAUUGGACAAUGGGCGCAAGCCUGAUCCAGCCAUACCGCGUGGGUGAAGAAGGCCUUCGGGUUGUAAAGCCCUUUUGUUGGGAAAGAAAAGCAGCAGGUUAAUACCCCGCUGUUCUGACGGUACCCAAAGAAUAAGCACCGGCUAACUUCGUG